rnacentral:rRNA from 1 species
UACGGGGGGGGCAAGCGUUGUUCGGAAUUACUGGGCGUAAAGGGUUCGUAGGUGGCCGACUAAGUCAGACGUGAAAUCCCUCAGCUUAACUGGGGAACUGCGUCUGAUACUGGAUGGCUUGGAUUUGGGAGAGGGAGGCGGAAUUCCAGGUGUAGCGGUGAAAUGCGUAGAUAUCUGGAGGAACACCGGUGGCGAAGGCGGCAUCCUGGACCAACAUUGACGCUGAGGAGCGAAAGCCAGGGGAGCAAACGGG